rnacentral:rRNA from 1 species
ACGGGAGGCAGCAGUGGGGAAUAUUGGGCAAUGGGCGCAAGCCUGACCCAGCAAUGCCGCGUGAAGGAAGAAGGCUUUCGGGUUGUAAACUUCUUUUAAGCGGGACGAUAAUGACGGUACCACUUGAAUAAGCUCCGGCUAACUACGUGCCAGCAGCCGCGGUAAUACGUAGGGAGCAAGCGUUAUCCGGAUUUACUGGGUGUAAAGGGCGUGUAGGCGGGACAUCAAGUCAGAUGUGAAAGCACGGGGCUCAACUCCGUGUCUGCAUUUGAAACUGUAGUUCUUGAGUGUUGGAGAGGCUAACGGAAUUCCUAGUGUAGCGGUGAAAUGCGUAGAUAUUAGGAGGAACACCAGUGGCGAAGGCGGCUUACUGGACUGUAACUGACGUUGAGGCUCGAAAGCGUGGGGAGCAAACAGGAUUAGAUACCCUGGUA